rnacentral:rRNA from 1 species
GACGAACGCUGGCGGCGUGCUUAACACAUGCAAGUCGAACGGAAAGGCCCCUUCGGGGGUACUCGAGUGGCGAACGGGUGAGUAACACGUGAGUAACCUGCCCUUGACUUCGGGAUAACUUCAGGAAACUGGGGCUAAUACCGGAUAGGAAUCCUUGCUGCAUGGUGGGGGUUGGAAAGCUUCGGCGGUUUUGGAUGGACUCGCGGCUUAUCAGCUUGUUGGUGGGGUAGUGGCUUACCAAGGCUUUGACGGGUAGCCGGCCUGAGAGGGCGACCGGCCACAUUGGGACUGAGAUACGGCCCAGACUCCUACGGGAGGCAGCAGUGGGGAAUAUUGCACAAUGGGCGGAAGCCUGAUGCAGCAACGCCGCGUGCGGGAUGACGGCCUUCGGGUGGUAAACCGCUUUCAGCAGGGGCGAAGCUUGUGGUGACGGUACCUGCAGAAGAAGCACCGGCUAACUACG